GAGGGUUUGAUCCUGGCUCAGAUUGAACGCUGGCGGCAGGCCUAACACAUGCAAGUCGAGCGGAUGAAGGGAGCUUGCUCCUGGAUUCAGCGGCGGACGGGUGAGUAAUGCCUAGGAAUCUGCCUGGUAGUGGGGGAUAACGUCCGGAAACGGGCGCUAAUACCGCAUACGUCCUGAGGGAGAAAGUGGGGGAUCUUCGGACCUCACGCUAUCAGAUGAGCCUAGGUCGGAUUAGCUAGUUGGUGGGGUAAAGGCCUACCAAGGCGACGAUCCGUAACUGGUCUGAGAGGAUGAUCAGUCACACUGGAACUGAGACACGGUCCAGACUCCUACGGGAGGCAGCAGUGGGGAAUAUUGGACAAUGGGCGAAAGCCUGAUCCAGCCAUGCCGCGUGUGUGAAGAAGGUCUUCGGAUUGUAAAGCACUUUAAGUUGGGAGGAAGGGCAGUAAGUUAAUACCUUGCUGUUUUGACGUUACCAACAGAAUAAGCACCGGCUAACUUCGUGCCAGCAGCCGCGGUAAUACGAAGGGUGCAAGCGUUAAUCGGAAUUACUGGGCGUAAAGCGCGCGUAGGUGGUUCAGCAAGUUGGAUGUGAAAUCCCCGGGCUCAACCUGGGAACUGCAUCCAAAACUACUGAGCUAGAGUACGGUAGAGGGUGGUGGAAUUUCCUGUGUAGCGGUGAAAUGCGUAGAUAUAGGAAGGAACACCAGUGGCGAAGGCGACCACCUGGACUGAUACUGACACUGAGGUGCGAAAGCGUGGGGAGCAAACAGGAUUAGAUACCCUGGUAGUCCACGCCGUAAACGAUGUCGACUAGCCGUUGGGAUCCUUGAGAUCUUAGUGGCGCAGCUAACGCGAUAAGUCGACCGCCUGGGGAGUACGG
rnacentral:rRNA from 1 species